UCCGUUGAUGAUUUGGUUGUGCUCACUCUCCCCAGUAGAGUUUCCUCCUCUCCGUUGGUGUCGAUAAACGUCGAGUUUUUCCCAAUCAUCCGUUGAUGAUUUGGUUGUACCCCUCUCCAUGCAGAGUUACCUCUCCGUUGGUUUUGAUAAACGUCGAGUUUUUCCCAGUCGUCCGUCGACGUCUGGUUGUGUUUCUCUUAUUCCCAUUCAUCUGUAAAUGUCUGGUCGAUCCUUUUGGUGUCUGUAAACAUCAUCUUUCGAUGUCUGUAAACGUCGAGUAUUCCCAUUCAUCUGUAAAUGUCUGGUCGAUCCUUUUGGUGUCUGUAAACAUCAUCUUCCGAUGUCUGUAAACGUCGAGUAUUC
rnacentral:lncRNA from 1 species